rnacentral:tRNA from 4 species
CGGGGCGUAGCUCAGUUGGUUUAGAGCACUACCUUGACAGGGUAGGGGUCACUGGUUCGAAUCCAGUCGUCUCGA